AUGAAAAGUGUGGAUGGAUAUGACUCGUUCAUAACAUUCACAGAUGAUUACUCUCGCUAUGGAUAUAUUUAUCCAAUCAAAGAAAGAUCUGAAGCGUUGGAUAAAUUUAAAAUAUUCAAAGCUGAAGUUGAAAAUCAGCAUGAUAAAAGAAUAAAGAUAGUUAGGUCCGACCGUGGGGGAGAGUACUACGGUCGGCACACUCCAUAUGGCCAAGUCCCUGGACCUUUUGCAAAGUUCUUGCAGGAGACUGGCAUUGUUGCCCAGUAUUCAAUGCCGGGCGAACCUCAGCAAAAUGGAGUACCUGAAAGGCGCAACCGUACACUUAUGGAUAUGGUGCGCAGCAUGAUGAGUUAUUCCAACUUGCCAUUGGGAUUAUGGAUGGAGGCGCUUAAAACCGCCAUUCACAUUCUCAAUAGAGUACCAAGCAAUUCGGUGCCCAAAACACCGUACGAGCUAUGGACAGGAAGGGUGCCAUCCCUACAACACUUCAGGGUGUGGGGGUGCCCUGCUGAGGCCAAAAUGUUUAAUCCAAACAUUGGAAGGUUAGAUCCCAAAACAGUGAGUUGCCACUUCAUUGGCUAUCCAGACAGAUCAAAGGGUUUUUGUUUCUACUGCCCAGGCAGAUAUACAAAGUUUGUAGAAACGAGACAUGCAGUCUUCUUAGAGGAUGAAAUGAUGAGGGGAGCUUGGUAG
rnacentral:rRNA from 1 species